rnacentral:rRNA from 1 species
UACGGAGGGAGCUAGCGUUAUCCGGAAUGAUUGGGCGUAAAGCGUCUGUAGGUGGCUUUUUAAGUCCGCCGUCAAAUCCCAGGGCUCAACUCUGGACAGGCGGUGGAAACUACCAAGCUGGAGUACGGUAGGGGCAGAGGGAAUUUCCGGUGGAGCGGUGAAAUGCGUAGAGAUCGGAAAGAACACCAACGGCGAAGGCAGCUCGCUGGGACGGUACUGACGCUGAGGCGCGAAAGCGUGGGGAGCAAACAGG